CGGACGGGUGAGUAAUGUCUGGGAAACUGCCUGAUGGAAGGGGAUAACUACUGGAAACGGUAGCUAAUACCGCAUAACGUCGCAAGACCAAAGAGGGGGACCUUCGGGCCUCUUGCCAUCGGAUGUGCCCAGAUGGGAUUAGCUAGUAGGUGGGGUAACGGCUCACCUAGGCGACGAUCCCUAGCUGGUCUGAGAGGAUGACCAGCCACACUGGAACUGAGACACGGUCCGG
rnacentral:rRNA from 1 species